rnacentral:tRNA from 1 species
GGAGGCGAGCCGAAUGGUUAGGGAGCGGUCUUGAAAACCGUCGCGGGCAACCGUUGGGGGUUCGAAUCCCUCCGCCUCCGC